GGCACCCCUUUCGAACCAUUAGUCUCAUUCAUUAUCACUCGGAACUUGGUCAGGCGGAGAAUUAACAACACUCGCCAUGAGAAUUAUAAGCCUUUCUAUGAUAUUCACACUUGCCAUAAUGAUUUUGAACUUUUUACCCAUUGAGGGUAGAGUUGGAGGACCAGGCGGGGAAUUAACUGUCUGCCGUUGUGAUUCAAAAGGAAGUCGUCGUACCAACGCAUGUGGUCCCAAUCAUGCAUGCAUGUAAUGCGAUUAACACAAAUUGGGAAGUGGUUCAGAAAUAAAGUGGACAUUUUUUUCUUUAAAAUCGAAUUUCAAUAUUUCAAGUUCCAUCAGCAUUUUUAAUAAAUUUCUAAUAAAAAUUGUUCAUACAAA